CCCCACCCCGAGGCCACAGCCUUGGUCCUCUGUCUGGUCUAGGAGGGCUCCUGCAGCUGCAGCCUAACAGGGAAAAGCAGGCACCCACAUGUCAGAAAGCCCUCCCAAAGCCCGGCAAGCACUUCUACUUAUGUGCCAGCCAAGUGCGUUUGAGAAGGAUACAGCCAGCUGUACGGCAGGCAGCGAGGUACCCAGCAAAUACUCAGGGUUCAUGUUACUGAGGAAGGAAGGUGAACAGCGAGAUACCCAGCAAGUACUCAGGGCUCACGUUAUGGAUGAGGAAGCCAGGCAGAUAAUGAGGUACCCAGCAGGGUUCACGUUUCCGUGGAGGAAAGGAGGGUGAAGACAAGGGGGAUGGAACAGCCUGUCAUAAGCUUUAGCUUUUAAAAGGCUCACUGAAGAUUAUCCGAUUUGAUCUUAACAGCUCACAAGAUAGGCAGAGGCACGACUCUUUCACUUCAUAAAGAGAUCCUGAGAACUGAUGAUGACCACGUACUCUUCCCACAGGCUCCCAGAAAUCAUUCUCAAAUCAUCUCUCAGUUGUAUACAUGUGAUAAUAUCUCAGUCAUGUCCCCUCUCUGCCGCGAAAUUUUAAUGCCGCCCUGCUGUUCCUUCGCACCCCUGCCCUCUCCUGCAUUUCAGGCAUGCCCACCAUCCAUGGGGAGUCUGCACCACCCCACCCCCGCUGCUGCUGAUGGCUUGGAUCACCCUUAUCUUUCAUUUCCACCUACAGGGACCUGUUCUUCCUUCAAAUGCAACUCAAACUCACUCAUUGUGUGAAGCCUUUUCCAGCCAUCACAACUGUCAUGUGUAAAAUCAGUCUGUGGAAUGCUUCAUUCAGGAGGUGCUUAUGUUGACUCAUCGGCUGUGAUCAGGACCAAAUACUGAGCAAACCAGGUGGUCCCCGCUCCCCAUCUCUGCUCCAGUGCACUUAAAACAAGGAUUCCUGGAAGCACCUUUUUAGCCCAAUUCACGCAUGAGUCUGCCCCACACCCUACAGAAAAGCCCUGGUGGUCGGCGGUCAGGGCUCGGGGCCCUAGGUGGGUAAGGACAGCUUAGUGCCCUCUCUGGACUUGUCGCUCAGAGACCCGUGGCUGGAAGGGAAGAAACUUGCAUCCUGUGAAACAUCCAGGCCCCGAGACCCACUCAGGAGCAGAAAAUGGGGAAAGAGCCUUGAACACACCCACGGGAGGGCAGACAGCAGAAGCCACGGAGGCCACCAGGAGGGAGGGAGGCAGGCAGUGAGGCCAGAGGUGAUGUGGCCAGGAGGGAGUUGAUGUGGCCAGAGGUGACGUGCUGUGGGGAUAACACGGUGUAGUGUGGGGAGGAGAUGUGGCCAGAGGCAACGUGGCCAGGGAAAGAGACACGGCUGGAAGUGACAAGAGGGGUCUCCAGGCCUCAGAUUGUGCCUGAUUUUUAGAUGACAUUUUAAUUAAGAUGUUAUAUCUAACUUUAAUGAAAAGUAGCAAUUUAGAACCAUUGUGUACAUUUAAAGCACGAUACAAAUAGACCACAUUUCCCAAACCAAAGAACAGUGCAUUAAAGGGAAAAAAUAGCAGCUCACCAAAAAAAAAAAAAAAAAA
ensembl:lncRNA